UAUGUAUGUUACAUCAGAACUUUUGACCGUGUGAACCGAUUUCGACAAAUUUUGUUUUAAUCGAAAGGUGGUGUGUGCCAAUUGGUCCCAUUUAAAUUUAUUUGAGAUCUAACAACUACUUUUCGAGCUAUAUCUAAUAAUGCGUUUUUACUUGACGCUUUUUCGUCGACCUACGUUGUAUUAUACCACAUAACUUUCUACUGGAUGUACCGAUUUUGAUAAUUAUUUUUUUGUUGGAAAGGAGAUAUCCUAAGUUUAGUACCAUGAUAAGGAAACCAAGAUCUGAUGAUGGGAUCCCAGAGAAAUUGAUGGAAAUUCUUGAAAAUCCGCAAUAACUUUUUAUUGGGUGUACCGAUUUUGAUAAUUCUUUUUUUGUUGGAAAGGGGAUAUUUCUAGUUUGGUACCAUGAUAAGGAAACC
rnacentral:misc_RNA from 1 species